rfam:Schistosoma mansoni, Puerto Rico, WGS project CABG01000000 data, contig: 0083
AGCUUUUUGAAUCCGUGCUGAGAUGUCGGCAGACACCAACCCAUUAGGACUGAUCAGACUUCCAAGACAAGUGAAGUU